AGCGAACGCUGGCGGCAGGCCUAACACAUGCAAGUCGAACGGAUCCUUCGGGAUUAGUGGCGGACGGGUGAGUAACACGUGGGAACAUGCCCUUUGGUUCGGAACAACACAGGGAAACUUGAGCUAAUACCGGAUGUGCCCUUCGGGGGAAAGAUUUAUCGCCAUUGGAGCGGCCCGCGUCUGAUUAGCUAGUUGGUGGGGUAAAGGCCCACCAAGGCGACGAUCAGUAGCUGGUCUGAGAGGAUGAUCAGCCACAUUGGGACUGAGACACGGCCCAAACUCCUACGGGAGGCAGCAGUGGGGAAUCUUGCGCAAUGGGCGAAAGCCUGACGCAGCCAUGCCGCGUGAAUGAUGAAGGUCUUAGGAUUGUAAAAUUCUUUCACCGGGGACGAUAAUGACGGUACCCGGAGAAGAAGCCCCGGCUAACUUCGUGCCAGCCGCCGCCGUAA
rnacentral:rRNA from 1 species